rnacentral:ncRNA from 1 species
GGCGGGAGAGUCCGGCAAUCCGAACGGGAUGAAGCCGGCGCCGAAGGAGCAACGACCCCGGAAUCUCUCAGGCACCCGGACCGCUGU